rnacentral:rRNA from 1 species
GGGGGGGGGGGGGGGGGGGGGGGAGGGGUGCGGGUGGAGGGGGGAGCUGAGGAGCGUGGGGGUCUGGCGUUAGCGGCGGGCGGGGGGGUGGGGCGUGGAUAAGCUACCUAUAAGCCUGGGGUGACUUCGGGACACCGGAGCGGAUACCGGAUACUAUCUUGAACGGCAUGGUGCAAUAGUGAAAGACAGUUUUGCUGUCCCUUAUAGGUGGAUCCGCGCCGCAUUAGCUAGUUGGUCAGGUAACGGGUUACCAAGGCAACGAUGCGUAGCCGACCUGGGAGGUGGAGCGGCCACACUGGAACUGAGACACGGUCCACACUCCUACGGGAGGCAGCAGUAGGGAAUCUUCCGCAAGGGGCGAAAGCCUGACGUAGCAACGCCGCGUGAGUGAUGAAGGUCUUCGGAUCGUAAAACUCUGUUAUUAGGGAAGAACAAAUGUGGAAGUAACUAUGCACGUCUUGACGGUACCUAAUCAGAAAGCCACGGCUAACUACGUG